CAGAAGCCGUGAGCGCCGCGAAACAAAGGGCGUCUCUAAGGCCGCCUGGCGCUCAGGCUGGCACGGAGGGCCGGACCUCCUACCCCCCGGCCGGGCCCCCGGACUCUGGCGGGCAGAGAGGCCCCGGAUCGUGCCUAGGCCCUGGCGGGAGCGCGGGGAGAUGGCAGAGGAGUGCCCCGGGGCACCGUGAGAUGCAAGUGCGAUAUCGGGGCCAAGGUCGUGGGGCGUUGGCGGUUUUCUCCGUCACUGCCGGCUCUGACAGAUUACCCGCUCCUUAAUGUCUGUAACAGAGGCGGUGAUAAUUGUCCCUACGCAAUUAUCCUAGGGGGAGGAGGCUUAGGUAAGGCGCUCUCUGGAAAGCGGGGAGGACAGUGCAGGCGUCCCCUGGUGGGGAGGGCCAUAGCGCCUCUCUCCCAGACGAACACACACGGGAGUUCGGGUCAGUGACUGCCACUUUCAAGUCCCAGCAGGGAUGUAGUUUCUGGCCAGGCCACCUGGAAGAGGAGCAGCAUGUGGCAGGUGGCACAGGGCCAGGUCAUCUCACCGUUGGUGAGCCCUGCAUCGGGCUCUGCCCUGACAGCCUGGCAUCUUGUAGCGGGCUUGGGAUUCUCUCUCCCUCUCUCUCUGCUGCUCCAGGUGUCACCAUGUUGAUGGACCAGGACACCGGGUCUGGGCCCAGGACCUCCCCUGACUCUCACAAGGCUCCCCGGAGACCAAAUCUCUAUUGUGGGAUCUCAGGCCCCAUCUGUGUUCCUGGAAUUCCAAAUGUGGCCUCCUUCUGAGCCCUGCCCCCCACCCUCACCCCCACCCCGCCCCCACCAUUGCCUUGUUCCCGCUGGAUUUCCAUCACAGGUGGCUGUGUGAGGUCAGGAUAAACCUAAUUUGGAGCGCAAGAUGACUGUUGCAUUCCCUUGGAUGGAAUUCAUUUGUUGAACAAUUGGCCAUUGAAAAUGGUGGUGACCUUUCUUUAAUAUAGCCAUAAUACCACUCCUCCAGAGAAACUGUUGACAAAGUAGUCAUACAUCACCUACGUGUAGGCUGAACCCAGUCUGUCAAUAACACUAGCAGCAACAACACCUCACCUGGCCUCUGAGCCUCCACUCUUCCUUGGUUCCCUUCUUUUUCACUGGCCCCUCCUUCACCAUAUAUCUUUUUGGUUCUUCUUCAUCUUCCUGGUGCCUAACAUUGGAGCACCCCAGGACUCAGUCAUUCUUUUUUAUCUAUCCUUGCUCAAACUAGAUGACCUCAUCCCUGAAAUGAGGUCCAUCUCUCUAGGCUGACUGCAACUAUGUUUUUGCUUUUAAAUGUUUACUCAUGUAGAGAGAGAGAGAGAGAGAGAGGAAGAGAGAGCACAAGAGGAGGACAGGCAGAGAGAGAGGGAGAGAGAGAGAGAAUCCCAAGCAGGCUCUGCCCUAUCAGCACAGAGCCUGAUGUAGGGCUCAAACCCAUGAACUGUGAGAUCAUGACCUGAGCUGAAACCACGAGUUGGACGCUUAACUGACUGAGCCCCCCAGGUGCCCCUGACAGCAACUAUGUUUAUAUCUCCAGCCCUGGCCUGUCGCCUGAACUCUAGGCUUGAAUACUCAACUGUCUGCUCAAUGCCUUGACCUGGACAUCUAAUAGACAUGGCCGACACACUAUCCAAAAUCAAACCCUAUUAUUGUGCCCCUAAACCUGCUCCUUCCACAGUCUUCUUGUAGUGGAAACUCUGGCAGAUGAUCUUCCUUUUUGUAAUGCAAGUUGUAACGCAACUUAAGCUUUGAUUGCCAAGGUAUCACUUCCAAGAGGCAUCUACUUCUCCUAGCAAGCGACAGGACUGGACAAAGAACUGGGCCGCUCCCUGGACCGAGGCUCCUUUAUUUCAGAGAUUUUGGUUGAUUUUGAUAACUGAUCAUUUUGGGCCACUUGCCUUUUCUCAUCCCAUGCUUUAAAUUCCCACUUUUGUGUUUUAAAGUCACCAAGACAGGGGCGCCUGGGUGGCUCAGUCGGUUAAGCGUCCAACUUCAGCUCAGGUCACGAUCUCACGGUCCGUGGGUUCGAGCCCCACAUCGGGCUCUGGGCUGAUGAUGGCUCAGAGCCUGGAGCCUGCUUCCGAUUCUGUGUCUCCCUCUCUCUCUGACCCUCCCCCGUUCGUGCUCUGUCUCUCUCUGUCUCAAAAAUAAAUAAACGUUAAAA